rnacentral:rRNA from 1 species
AGAGUUUGAUCCUGGCUCAGAACGAACGUUGGCGGCGUGGAUUAGGCAUGCAAGUCGAGCGGGAUUAGCUUUAUUCAAUUCUUCGGAAGAGAAAAUUGCUAUGAGAGCGGCGAACGGGUGAGUAAUAUAUGGGUAAUUUGCCUCUUUGUUCGGGAUAGCCAUCGGAAACGAUGAUUAAUACCGGAUGUGAUCGGUCACUGCAUAGUGACCUCUUUAAAGGUGGGGAGUCUUCGGAUCCUAUCGCAAAGAGAUAAGCCCAUACCCUAUCAGCUAGUUGGUGAGGUAAUGGCUCACCAAGGCUUACGGGUAGCUGGUCUGAGAGGAUGGUCAGCCACACUGGGACUGAGACACUGCCCAGACUCCUACGGGAGGCUGCAGUCGAGAAUCAUUGGCAAUGUACGAAAGUAUGAUCAUGCGACGCCGCGUGGAGGAAGACGGCCUUCGGGUUGUAAACUCCUGUCAGCAGGGAGGAAAGGCAGCACUACUAAUAUCAGUGUUGUUUGACAGUACCUGCAGAGGAAGUCACGGCUAACUCUGUGCCAGCAGCCGCGGUAAUACAGAGGUGGCGAACGUUGUUCGGAUUUACUGGGCGUAAAGGGUCCGCAGGCGGUCCGGUGUGUCGGAUGUGAAAGCCCACGGCUUAACCGUGGAAUUGCAUUCGAAACUACCGGACUAGAGUACUGGAGGGGAGAAGGGAACACUUGGUGUAGCGGUGAAAUGCGUAGAUAUCAAGUGGAACACCGGAG